rnacentral:rRNA from 1 species
UACGGGGGGGCAAGCGUUGUUCGGAAUUACUGGGCGUAAAGGGCUCGUAGGUGGCCAACUAAGUCAGACGUGAAAUCCCUCGGCUUAACCGGGGAACUGCAUCUGAUACUGGAUGGCUUGAGUUUGGGAGAGGGAUGCGGAAUUCCAGGUGUAGCGGUGAAAUGCGUAGAUAUCUGGAGGAACACCGGUGGCGAAGGCGGCAUCCUGGACCGGCAUUGACGCUGAGGCGCGAAAGCUAAGGGGAGCAAACGGAGA